UGAAACACCAACUUCAGGUGGUGGAUAUCCUCUCUUUGCUCCCACGCCCUUAAUGGGAAACUCCUCUGUCUCGUCAACCAUUGGACCAAGCCCCUAAACCUGCUGCUGGUUGGCAACUACUGGGAGGAGAUUUGUUUUCACACCAUUGUCUCUCUCCAUGCUCCUAUGGUGCUGAGUCAGACCUGGUUACAACUUUACAACCCUCACAGCAACUGGGCUGCAGCUAAGCCUUACAAUUGCUCCAUGGAUCUCCUUCCAUGAGCUCCUCUGCAGCUCCUUCCAGCUGGCUGUAUAACCUGUUAAGACCCGAAAGGCAAGCAAUGGAGAGGUACAUGCACCUUUUGACUGCAGGUAUUAUUCAGCCCGUGCAUUGACUUUUACAAGACAGGUACUUCAGGGAUUGCUGUGUAAAAAAACAAAACAAAAAAAAACUGUUUGUCAAAGCUCAGAAGUGCGAGUACCACGCUCACCUCCUUCCACACAUUGUUUUCCUGGCCACUGCUUUCUUGGAGUUCAAGAGACGCUUCACAUCAGCACCCAUUUUGGAGUUGGAGACAUUCUGUCCCAAAGGUCCAUCUCAGAUCAGAAGUUAUAUCACUGUGUUUUCACUGUGCUAUAAUGUUCUGGACUGUUCUCAUGGGUUUUGAGUAGGAUCUAUUGAUGCAUUGAUGGAUUCAUGUACUUCAGGAUAUGUUGUAGUAAUUGACUGGGUGCCUGCAGGCUGAAGAGUAAUAGCAGUGUACUGUAUGUUGUUCUUGUUGUUCCUUGUUGUUAGUGUUCACCUGCAGGCAAAUCCAAACAUACAUGUAAAUAUCGUUAUUAAUCCAUAAUUCGUUUGUUUUUGUUAUGGAUGGGAAUAAGAUAUUCUAGCUUUGUGUCCUGUAGACAAUUAAUUAAUAUAUGAAUAAAUACAGAUGGUUGAAGUCUAAUAUCAAUUAUUUAGUAGGGGUGUAACAGUACACAAAAUCACGGUUUGAUAUGUACCUUUUGAAGUCAUGGUUCAGUUAGUUUUCGGUACA